rnacentral:rRNA from 1 species
GUGAGGAAUAUUGGUCAAUGGGCGGGAGCCUGAACCAGCCAAGUCGCGUGAAGGAAGAAGGAUCUAUGGUUCGUAAACUUCUUUUGCAGGGGAAUAAAGUGCAGGACGUGUCCUGUUUUGUAUGUACCCUGAGAAUAAGGAUCGGCUAACUCCGUGCCAGCAGCCGCGGUAAUACGGAGGAUCCGAGCGUUAUCCGGAUUUAUUGGGUUUAAAGGGUGCGUAGGUGGUUUGAUAAGUCAGCGGUGAAAGUUUGCAGCUUAACUGUAAAAAUGCCGUUGAAACUGUCGGACUUGAGUGUAAAUGAGGUAGGCUGAAUGCGUGGUGUAGCGGUGAAAUGCAUAGAUAUCACGCAGAACUCCGAUUGCGAAGGCAGCUUACUAAGCUACAACUGACACUGAAGCACGAAAGCGUGGGGAUCAAACAGGAUUAGAUACCCGAGUAGUCC